rnacentral:rRNA from 1 species
GUCUAUGGCCACGCCCCCCCGAACCAGCCCGAUGUCUGAUCGCGGAAGCUAAGCAGGGUCGGGCCUGGUUAGCACCUGGAUGGGAGACGGCCCAGGAAGCCCAGGUGCUGUGGCAU